AUUGAACGCUGGCGGCAGGCCUAACACAUGCAAGUCGAACGGUAACAGGAAGCAGCUUGCUGCUUCGCUGACGAGUGGCGGCCGGGUGAGUAAUGUCUGGGAAACUGCCUGAUGGAGGGGGAUAACUACUGGAAACGGUAGCUAAUACCGCAUAACGUCGCAAGACCAAAGAGGGGGACCUUAGGGCCUCUUGCCAUCGGGUGUGCCCAGAUGGGAUUAGCUAGUAGGUGGGGUAACGGCUCACCUAGGCGACGAUCCCUAGCUGGUCUGAGAGGAUGACCAGCCACACUGGAACUGAGACACGGUCCAGACUCCUACGGGAGGCAGCAGUGGGGAAUAUUGCACAAUGGGCGCAAGCCUGAUGCAGCCAUGCCGCGUGUAUGAAGAAGGCCUUCGGGUUGUAAAGUACUUUCAGCGGGGAGGAAGGGAGUAAAGUUAAUACCUUUGCUCAUUGACGUUACCCGCAGAAGAAGCACCGGCUAACUCCGUG
rnacentral:rRNA from 1 species